UCCUACGGGGGGCAGCAGUAGGGAAUCUUCCACAAUGGGCGAAAGCCUGAUGGAGCAACGCCGCGUGGGUGAAGAAGGUCUUCGGAUCGUAAAACCCUGUUGUUAGAGAAGAAAGUGCGUGAGAGUAACUGUUCACGUUUCGACGGUAUCUAACCAGAAAGCCACGGCUAACUACGUGCCAGCAGCCGCGGUAAUACGUAGGUGGCAAGCGUUAUCCGGAUUUAUUGGGCGUAAAGGGAACUCAGGCGGUCUUUUAAGCCU
rnacentral:rRNA from 1 species